UACGGAGGGUGCAGGCGUUAUCCGGAAUCACUGGGUUUAAAGGGUGCGUAGGCGGCUUGAUAAGUCAGAGGUGAAAGCCCACGGCUCAACUGUGGAACUGCCUUUGAUACUGUCAGGCUUGAAUUGGGUUGAGGCAGGCGGAAUGUGGCAUGUAGCGGUGAAAUGCUUAGAUAUGCCAUAGAACACAGAUUGCGAAGGCAGCCUGCCAAGCCUUGAUUGACGCUGAGGCACGAAAGCGUGGGGAGCGAACAGG
rnacentral:rRNA from 1 species